rnacentral:rRNA from 1 species
GAGAUAUUUUGGAAUAGAUAUCUUGAAAACUCCGGUGCUCAAGGAUGAGUCUGCAUCUGAUUAGCUAGUUGGGGGUGUAAUGGACCACCAAGGCGACGAUCAGUAGCUGGUUUGAGAGGAUGAUCAGCCACAAUGGGACUGAGACACGGCCCAUACUCCUACGGGAGGCAGCAGUAGGGAAUUUUGCGCAAUGGGCGAAAGCCCGACGCAGCAACGCCGCGUGAAUGAUGAAGCCCUUCGGGGUGUAAAGUUCUGUCAGUAGGGACGAAACUUGACGGUACCUACAGAGGAAGCACCGGCUAACCCCGUGCCAGCAGCCGCGGUAAUACGGAGGGUGCAAGCGUUGUCCGGAAUCAUUGGGCGUAAAGCGUUCGUAGGCGGUACAUCAAGUCUGGUGUUAAAGACCGGGGCUCAACUCCGGCAUGGCAUUGGAUACUGAUGAACUGGAAUGCGGUAGAGGUAAAGGGAAUUCCUGGUGGAGCGGUGAAAUGCUAAGAUAUCAGGAGGAACAUCGGUGGCGAAAGCGCUUUACCGGGCCGUUAUUGACGCUGAGGAACGAAAGCCGGGGGAGCAAAUGGGAUUAGAUACCCCAGUAGUCCCGGCCGUAAACGAUGGAUACUAGGUGUUGCGGGUAUCGACCCCUGCAGUGCCGUAGCUAACGCGAUAAGUAUCCCGCCUGGGGAGUGCGCACGCAAGUGUG